rnacentral:rRNA from 1 species
UAGGGAAUCUUCCACAAUGGGCGCAAGCCUGAUGGAGCAACACCGCGUGAGUGAAGAAGGGUUUCGGAUCGUAAAACUCUGUUGGUAGAGAAGAACGUUGGUGAGAGUGGAAAGCUCAUCAAGUGACGGUAACUACCCAGAAAGGGACGGCUAACUACGUGCCAG